UCCCAUGUGGUCUAGUUGUUAGGAUUUCUGGCUCUCACCUAGGCGGCCCGGGUUCGAUUUCCGGCAUGGGAA
rnacentral:tRNA from 1 species